GACGAACGCUGGCGGCGUGCUUAACACAUGCAAGUCGAACGGAAAGGCCCUGCUUUUGUGGGGUGCUCGAGUGGCGAACGGGUGAGUAACACGUGAGUAACCUGCCCUUGACUUUGGGAUAACUUCAGGAAACUGGGGCUAAUACCGGAUAGGAGCUCCUGCUGCGUGGUGGGGGUUGGAAAGUUUCGGCGGUUGGGGAUGGACUCGCGGCUUAUCAGCUUGUUGGUGGGGUAGUGGCUUACCAAGGCUUUGACGGGUAGCCGGCCUGAGAGGGUGACCGGCCACAUUGGGACUGAGAUACGGCCCAGACUCCUACGGGAGGCAGCAGUGGGGAAUAAUGCACAAUGGGCGGAAGCCUGAUGCAGCAACGCCGCGUGCGGGAUGACGGCCUUCGGGUUGUAAACCGCUUUCGCCUGUGACGAAGCGUGAGUGACGGUAAUGGGUAAAGAAGCACCGGCUAACUACGUGCCAGCAGCCGCGGUGAUACGUAGGGUGCGAGCGUUGUCCGGAUUUAUUGGGCGUAAAGGGCUCGUAGGUGGUUGAUCGCGUCGGAAGUGUAAUCUUGGGGCUUAACCCUGAGCGUGCUUUCGAUACGGGUUGACUUGAGGAAGGUAGGGGAGAAUGGAAUUCCUGGUGGAGCGGUGGAAUGCGCAGAUAUCAGGAGGAACACCAGUGGCGAAGGCGGUUCUCUGGGCCUUUCCUGACGCUGAGGAGCGAAAGCGUGGGGAGCGAACAGGCUUAGAUACCCUGGUAGUCCACGCUGUAAACGGUGGGUACUAGGUGUGGGGUCCAUUCCACGGGUUCCGUGCCGUAGCUAACGCUUUAAGUACCCCGCCUGGGGAGUACGGCCGCAAGGCUAAAACUCAAAGGAAUUGACGGGGCCCCGCACAAGCGGCGGAGCAUGCGGAUUAAUUCGAUGCAACGCGUAGAACCUUACCUGGGUUUGACAUGGAUCGGGAGCGCUCAGAGAUGGGUGUGCCUCUUUUGGGGUCGGUUCACAGGUGGUGCAUGGCUGUCGUCAGCUCGUGUCGUGAGAUGUUGGGUUAAGUCCCGCAACGAGCGCAACCCUUGUUCACUGUUGCCAGCACGUUAUGGUGGGGACUCAGUGGAGACCGCCGGGGUCAACUCGGAGGAAGGUGGGGAUGACGUCAAGUCAUCAUGCCCCUUAUGUCCAGGGCUUCACGCAUGCUACAAUGGCUGGUACAGAGAGUGGCGAGCCUGUGAGGGUGAGCGAAUCUCGGAAAGCCGGUCUCAGUUCGGAUUGGGGUCUGCAACUCGACCUCAUGAAGUCGGAGUCGCUAGUAAUCGCAGAUCAGCAACGCUGCGGUGAAUACGUUCCCGGGGCU
rnacentral:rRNA from 1 species